rnacentral:misc_RNA from 1 species
GGGAGGUGCAAGGAUCUUAUAUCGCCGAAGCUAUAGUAGAGCAUGUCGCAAGUUUACUGUCGAUUGAGGUGGACUCAGUCAGAAAUGAGAAUGUUCAUACAUUUGAAAGCCUUAACUUAUUCUAUGGUAACGUUGUAGCAGAAGGAGAAUAUACAUUGCCUAGUAUCAUGGAUAAGUUGGCAGUGUCGUCCAGCUUUUUCCAACGAAGCAAGAUGAUAGAACAGUUCAACCAGAAAAACACAUGGAAGAAAAGGGGUAUUUCUCGAGUACCAGCUGUGUACAAUGGUUCGCAACGACCGACACCAGGAAAAGUCAGUAUUCUGCAAGAUGGAUCAAUUGUUGUGGAGGUUGGAGGGGUUGAUGUAGGCCAAGGGCUAUGGACAAAGGUUAGACAGAUGACUGCCUAUGCUCUCGGGUCAAUCGAAAGUAGUUGGGCCGAAGAUCUUGUCGAGAAAGUACGAGUCAUACAAGCAGACACCUUAAGUGUAGUGCAAGGUGGAUUAACGGCUGGAAGCACCACAUCGGAAUCAAGCUGUGCAGCUGUUAAACUUUGCUGUGAUAUCUUGGUUGAAAGACUGACCCCUCUGAAGAAACAGUUGCAGGAAAAAAAUGUUUCUGUUGAUUGGCCAACGCUGAUUCGCCAGGCACAAACACAAUCAAUAAACUUAGCAGCAAAUUCUUAUUAUGUGCCAGAAUUCUUGAGGUAUUUGACCUUCGGCGCUGCUGUCAGUGAGGUGGAGAUAGAUGUUCUGACUGGAGAGACUACCAUUUUGCAGUCGGAUAUUAUUUACGACUGCG